rnacentral:rRNA from 1 species
AUGCCCGUGCCCUGUUCGUCUUGUUCCGCUCGCGUCGCCUCUGUUUCCGCGCUGUUUGCUCUGUUCCUCGCCGCCGCUCUGGUCUUGCUUCAGCCCGGCAGCCAGCCGCGAGCUGUGACGGCAUGGCUCCGGAGCGCCGACUACAGCCGGCGGUGCAGCAAGCAGCAACGUUGCAGGCCCGCGCGGAGCGAGGCCGCGUUGCCUAGAGGCAUCAUUGAGAGCCACUCGGACUUGGAGAUGCGAUCCAUUCAUGACGAUCUAACAAGUUGGCCUCCGCCAGCAGAAAGUGGCAAAAGGAGAAGCCUGCUGGCCGUUGCUGCUGGAAUCAAGCAGAAGGAGGUUGUGGAUAGGAUCGCCACCAAGUUCUUCUCCGACGGUUUCAGCAUAAUGAUCUUCCACUACGACGGCGUGGUGGAGCAGUGGGGGGAUCUGCGGUGGAGCAGCGCCGCCGUGCACGUCUCGGCGGUCAACCAGACGAAAUGGUGGUUCGCCAAGCGGUUCCUGCACCCGGACAUCGUCCACGAGUACGACUACAUCUUCGUCUGGGACGAAGACCUUGGAGUGCAGCAUUUUCAUCCUGCCAGAUAUGUGGCGAUUGUUGAAAAGGAAGGGCUUCAGAUAUCACAGCCUGCUCUAGACGCUACCAAUUCCAAGGUUCAUCACUGGAUCACUGCGCGUGCGCGGAAAGGGGGCUUCCAUAGAAGGAUUUACAAGCAAAAGGGAGUCACCAGGUGCUAUGAAAACAGUACGGCGCUUCCAUGCACUGGAUUUGUCGAAAUUGUGGCUCCCGUGUUCUCAAGAGCAGCAUGGCAUUGUGUGUGGCAUAUGAUCCAGAACUAUCUGAUUCAUGCAUGGGGCUUGGACUUCAAAUUCGGCUGUUGCGCUCAGGGGGGUCGGAGUAAGAACGUUGGAGUAGUCGACAGCGAGUACCUCCUUCAUUUGGGCAUCCCCACACUCGGCUCCUCUUCUUCUCCUCCUUCUAAAGACAACAAGAGUAGCUCCGAUGCAGCACCAGGAGAUGAAUCGGAGGCGCCUAUAGAAUCAAUGAUGGCGCCUCCUCCUGAAGCAUCGCCCAGCUUCGGUGACAGAUCAUUGAUUAGGCAUCGGGCUCAAGAGGAACAGGUCCGUUUUCAAGAAAGAUGGAAGUAUGCUACUCAAUCUGAUGCAUGUUGGGUUGAUCCAUAUGUUAACUAA